GCAGUCGAGCGGGGUUAUGUUGCUUGCUCUAUCACCUAGCGGCGGACGGGUGAAAAUGCUUAGGAAUCUGCCUAUUUGUGGGGGACAACAUUUCAAAAGGAAUGCUAAUACCGAAUACUUCCUACGGGAGAAAGCAGGGGAUCUUCAGACCUUGCGCUAAUAGAUGAGCCUAAGUCGGAUUAGCUAGUUGGUGGGGUAAAGGCCUACCAAGGCGACGAUCUGUAGGGGGUCUGAGAGGAUGAUCCGCCACACUGGGACUGAGACCCGGCCCAUACUCCUACGGGAGGCAGCAGUGGGGAAUAUUGGACAAUGGGCGCAAGCCUGAUCCAGCCAUGCCGCGUGGGUGAAGAAGGCCUUAUGGUUGUAAAGCACUUUAAGCGAGGAGGAGGCUACUUUAGAUAAUACCUAGAGAUAGUGGACGUUACUCGCAGAAUAAGCACCGGCUAACUCUGUGCCAGCAGCCGCGGUAAUACAGAGGGUGCCAGCGUUAAUCGGAUUUACUGGUCGUAAAGCGCGCGUAAGCGGCUAAUUAAGUCAAAUGUGAAAUCCCCGAGCUUAACUUGGGAAUUGCAUUCGAUACUGGUUAGCAAGAGUGUGGGAGAUGAUGGAAUAAUUCCAUGUGUAGCGGUUAAAUGCGUUGAUAGCUGGAGG
rnacentral:rRNA from 1 species